UACGUAGGGGGCAAGCGUUGUCCGGAUUCAUUGGGCGUAAAGAGCGUGUAGGCGGCCAGGUAGGUCGGUUGUGAAAACUGGAGGCUCAACCUUCAGAGGUCGACCGAAACCAUCUGGCUAGAGUCCGGGAGAGGAGAGUGGAAUUCCUGGUGUAGCGGUGAAAUGCGUAGAUAUCAGGAGGAACACCGGUGGCGAAGGCGGGUCUCUGGGCAGUAACUGACGCUGGAGGAGCGAAAGCGUGGGGAGCAAACAGG
rnacentral:rRNA from 1 species